GUCCCCAUAGUUCAAGCGGAUAGAACGAGAACCUCCUAAGUUCUAAAUCCAGGUUCAAUUCCUGGUGGGGACACCA
rnacentral:tRNA from 1 species